GUUAUUACCUAGUUCAUAGAAACCUGUAAACCCAAACCCAAUUUUGGAGCAACCCCUAAACACUAAAACCCUAAACCAAUUUCUUACAAAUCCAUACACCAUAAACCAAAUUCACAAAAACCCCAAAUUUCAAAGAAAACGUAUAUGAACAGUACCUUGUGGAUGUCAACGGUGGAGUUACGCUUGGAUGAACAGCCACCGAUGAGGGAGAAAGACGAUUGCGUCGUGGAGAGAGAGGUACACGAGGGAGAGAGACAGGCCGAAGAGAUAGAGCCAAGAGAGUUGAGAGAGAAGCCAAUUUCUGAAAAAUUGAUAUGGGUGCAAUCAGUCCACAAUAAAGAUGUAUUUAUAGGUGUUAGUUGUAAAAAAAUUAGGAAGGGGUGGUAUUUUUAGUUAAAAUUAUGAAAUGGGUGGCAUUUUAAGCUAUUUCCUAGUUUUUUUUUUUCCUGUCAAAGCUGCCUUAGUUGUUCUUUUAUUACAUUUGUCUUAGUCUUUUUUUUUUUUUUUUGGCACAGUUUUAUGACAAACUGAGGUCUCGCAAACUAAGACAGAACUGUUUAGCAAAUUCUUCCUCUAUUACAAUUAUUGUUAUAGCAACAACAAGAUUGAGAAGUUGAAGAUAAUUGUACAUGUCACUAUCACUGGUGGUUUGUUGGUUGGGGAUGGUAGAGCAAAAGGAGCCUGUAAAUACAAUUUUGUGUACUAAAACAGAACUGCAUUUUCAGCUAGUUGACACACUAACAACUUGGGGCUUAGAGACUGAAUCUUUUGGCAGUCAUUACAAGAGAAUCUGUGGGUAUUCUUUUCUUUUCUUACUGUUAUAGGGUACUCAAGUCAGCCUCAUUACAGAGAGAAACUGCUCCAACUUACAAAUGUGGAGGAGAGGCCGUGGGAUGUGUACUCAAAUGGGAAUAACCAAAACACCUACUGAUGCAAAAUAAGCCACUUCUAGCAGGCAAUGACUCGGGUUUAUCCUCAGAUUUACUGUGAGGAAAGUGCCUAUGAAAGGCAUUCAAUGCUCCUACCAACCCAUCUACGUCAUCUAUGGCCUUGACAAUUUCAACAGCACGCUCUUUAACCUUUCUACCGAAAAUAGUUAUGUCUUUGUUAAUGUAAUAUAUUCAUAUAUAACCCCUAGAGUUAUGACUAGUAUUUGCAUGUUAAAAUUGAUCGAGAAAUAAUGGCAACUUCAAUCAAAUGAGUGCGUAUGCAUGUGUGAUAAUUUUACACUCAAUAUGUAAGGGAUAGAGCAAACAGCCAAUAACUUACCGGUAAGUUAUUGCGUGAAAAGCCAACAUUUAAUCGUCAGGAAAAUGAUUGAGCGAAAAGCCUAUAACUUACCGGUAAGUUAUAGCGCGAAAAGUCAAUACUUAAUCGUCAUGUAAAUGAUGGUGAAAAGACUAUAACUUACCAGUAAGUUAUCGAGUGAAAAGCCAAUACUUUACCAAACAUCAAAAUUAAGAUAUUCUGGUGCGCGUCCACUAACGAGCACACAGUAUCGAAGAAACUCUGGCAUAUGCAUCCCAACUAGGAUUUCAAACUUAAAAUAAUAAUAAAAAGAUCAAGCUUGAAAAAACUAAGCUAUAACAAUACAAAUAAAAUGACAAGACUCGACCUGAAUUUCUCGGAAUCCAUGACGGAUCCCGUGGUAUUUUCGACAUCCAACCGAUAUCGGGCCCACUUACUGAUUUCAAAUGUCCUCUUCCCCUAAAACAAAGGAAAAGAGGGCCGAGACUUCUACUGAAAUUUCGGCAGAGUCUCCCUUGAAAAACGGACUUAACCAAAUAUUUCAACCUGCCAAAAACACAAUUUAAAAUUUCCACACUUCAGCAUGCACAGUCUACCCUCCAGGCAUAGUCAUAAGUAGUUGUAAGGGCUCAAUCCACAAUCAUUCAUCAAUCUAAAAAGGUUUCAGCCCUGACACAAUCACAAACACAUUAUAACCACAUCCCUUUAGGCUAUCGACAAAUUCAAAACCGAACUUAACAAAUCUAAUAAAUAGGAUUCGAUCCCAAUGACCAUAUUAAAGUCCAAAAAUAUAUUUUAUAUUGUGGUUGCACCUGGGUGAGACCCGGGUUCUUUAAAUUGGGUGGGUCAAGUAGAGGAGGAGAGGAAAAGUUUGCAAGUUGUUUUGUCGAAAACGGUGGCCGGACGACGCCGGGUUCAGCGUCGGAAAAUGUUGUUGUGCGACGGAGAGAGAGAGAGAGAGAGAGAGAGACGCGGUCGGAAAAUGUUGUUGUGCGAUGGGGAGAGAGAGAGAGAGAGAGAGAAAAAAAAUCUGACCUGGGUUUUAAAAUUCUGAGAUUGAAAUAUUUACGAUUGUGCCACUGCGCGUCCGUUGACCAUAACUUCUUCGUUAAAACUCCGAUUUGGGCCCACUACAUGUCUAUGAACUCGUAUCGAUGAGCUCUAAGCAAUGAAAUACUGACGGUGGUUGAAGAUGUGAUGUCCCUUUCUUCCAACCUUCGAAUGCCUUUAGUUGUUUUAGUCAAAUGCCCUUAGUCUUUGGUUUUUUUUUUUUUUCUCGUCAAAGCUGCCUUAGUUGUUCUUUUAUUAUAUUUGUCUUAGUCUUUUUUUUUUUUUUGGCACAGCUUUCUGACAAACUGUGGUCCAGCAAACUAGGACAAAACUGUUUAGCAAAUUCUUCGUCUAUUACAAUUAUUGUUAUAGCAACAACAAGAUUGAGAACUUGAAGAUAAUUGUACAUGUCACUAUCACUGGUGGUUUGUUGGUUGGGGAUGGUAGAGCAAAAGGAGCCUGUAAAUGCAAUUUUGUGUACUAAAACAAAACUGCAUUUUCAGCUAGUUGACACACUAACAACUUGGGGCUUAGAGACUGAAUCUUUUUCCAGUCAUUACAAGAGAAUCUGUGGGUAUUCUUUUCUUUUCUUACUGUUAUAGGGUACUCAAGUCAGCCUCAUUACAGAGAGAAACUGCUUCAACUUACAAAUGUGGAGGAGAGGCCGUGGGAUGUGUACUCAAAUGGGAAUAGCCAAAACACCUACUGAUGCAAAAUAAGCCACUUCUAGCAGGCAAUGACUCGGGUUUAUCCUCAGAUUUACUGUGAGGAAAGUGCCUAUGAAAGGCAUUCAAUGCUCCUAUCAACCCAUCUUCGUCAUCUAUCGCCUUGGCAAUUUCAACAACACGCUC
rnacentral:lncRNA from 1 species